rnacentral:lncRNA from 1 species
UGCAGAGCAAACAGGGAGCUAAUGGAAGCACUCAGGAUGAUAGAAUUCUAACUUCAUGAAAACAUGUUUGAUUGUGGGUCCCAGUAAAGAUGUCCCAGUUCUCGGCCAGAAUCUUUUCUGAAGACUGAGCUGGAGGAGGUACCCGUUCUGGAAUGGUCUCAAAUGCAACCUGCAGGUUUGGCCCCCUGGAGGAAGUGAGAAGAAUGGAGAUGAACACGUUUCUUGUGUCAUGUCCUCAUUCUGCCCAAGACACACCUACCCGGACCAUGCCGUCUUGACUCCCGGUGAUGAUGAUCUGGCUUGUGUCCCAUGCUGGGCCCUCCAUCAGGCAGCAGCAGGUUAUGGCUCCUUCUGGGCCCCAGGCUGUGGUGAUGCUGGCCAGGGGCUGUCCAUUGACAUUCCACAGGGACAAGUGUGCUCCCGCACAGGAGACAAUGGUGCCCUGUGCAGUGAGAGCUGGCAUCACUCUAAGCUGGAGUCACUGCCUGCCCAUCAGCCACUUGCUCAGCUACCCAGUUGGUACACCCAAGUACUCUCAAUCUGUCAUGCUCUGAAGACCCCCAAGGUACCCCAAAACUUCUUUCCAGCUGACUUACAGGUCUGCUGUGUUUUCACACAGUUGUAAAUUCUUGGUUCUUUUCAUACUGCAGUCAUGUGCUUAGAUACUUCUUUCCUGGCAGAAGGCAC